GGCAACGGUCGUCCCGCGCGCGCGCUCUCCGCAGUCGACGGUCGUCCCUCGCACGCGCGCGCGCUCUUUGCCGACCGUCGUCCGCCGCCUCACCGAUCCCUUUGCCACCGACUCGCGCGAGUCAGCUCCGGCGAGGCGAAUAAUAUUAUUGUCAUCGCAGCCGCCACCGCUCCCCCGUCAGUCGUCACGGCCAUCGUACAACGUACACACAUUGCACCGACCGACGGCCGUCGUCCCGUCCCGUCGUACGCUACACGAUCGCAACGCGGAACCAGCAACGCUGCUCCAUCCCUCCCGCCCGCCGACCAGCACCGACCGACAGCCAGUCAGCCACACGACCGUCCCCCGCCCGACGCGUUUGUCCGUCGUGUCCUUAAUGAACGCAGUCACCAUACACGGGCGUCAUAGAUGUUAAUUGUCCUGUUAAAACCGAUAGGGAUACUAUGUUCCUACAUAUUUAAAGCCAUGGGACAAAGCCUGGUCAUCGGUUCGGAUCGGUCAGCCAGACGAAAGAAACAAAAAGGCGAUGGCAGUGUGCCCGUCGACACGCCGACCGUGUCGCUCACGGCUGCUUCCAUGACCGACCUAGACAAUAUUACUCAGCACCAGAUAGUCUACAAAAAAAUGGAACAACUGAUGGACCGAAUGCAGGACGAAAACACCGGCAUCCCUGUGCGUACUGUCAACAAGUUCAGAGCUAAAGUACCUUCUGUGUUUACCGGUACUGAUUUGAUAUUGUGGAUAAUGAAGAACGUGGAUGUUGAUGAUCAAGUUGAAGCAUUAUACUUUGCAAAUCUUUUGUCAUCUCAUGGUUACUUGUUCCCAAUCGAUGAUCAUUUUCUGAAUGUGAAGAAUGAUGGAUCUUAUUAUCGUUUUCAAACUCCUUAUUACUGGCCAUCAAAUAUAUUUGACCCUGAAAAUACUGAUUACGCUGUAUAUCUGUGUAAAAGGACAAUGCAAAACAAAACGCGUUUAGAAUUGGCUGAUUAUGAAGCUGAAAACUUAGCAAAACUCCAAAAAGUUUUAUCUCGAAAAUGGGAAUUUGUAUUUUUACAAGCAGAGGCCCAAAGUAAAGUAGAUAAAAAACGAGAUCGCAUGGAAAGAAAAAUAUUAGAUAGUCAAGAACGUGCAUUUUGGGACGUACAUAGACCAAUGCCUGGUACUAUAAUAACAACAGAAAUUGACUAUAGGAAAUUAAAGAGGUAUAAAGAAUUAUCUACUUUGGCAAAUGGAGACAUUAACAACUUACUACCUAUACAGCUCCCAGUAAAAACUAACAUUGGUAAACCUACUAUUGAAUCUAUAAAAAAAGACAUAACUGCAAUGCGGCUUAAGCUUGAUCGCCGUAAUAUAAAACUAUCAAAAAUUGCAGACACAUACAUUACCUAUUUUGAACAGUAUGCAGAAUAUGAUCCAUUUUUUACACCUCCAGAAUUUAGCAACCCUUGGUUAUUAGAUAAUGUUGAAGUAUGGGAUUGUGACAAGCAUUCUUCUCUGUUUUCGUAUAGGAAAGAAGUUACAGUGCGUAGAAUAAAACGAUGGGCAUUUAGUUUAAAAGAACUUCUAGCUGAUCCUGCUGGAAAGGAACAUUUUACAAAAUUCCUGGAAAAAGAAUUUAGUUGUGAAAAUUUAAAAUUUUGGGAAGCAGUACAGAAUCUUAAGAAAUUGCCACAACGUGAAGUGCCUCAAGCUGCUGAAGAAAUCUGGGCAGAGUAUCUAAGUGGUGAUUCACUAAACAUUGACUCUCAGUCAAGAGAAUUAAGCCGAAAGAACAUGUCUGCUCCUGAUAGAUGGGCAUUUGAUAUUGCUGCCGUAUGUAAUCGCACAUUUUCAUUAUGUUCAUGUUUACCAUUUAAUGAAGAGUGAUAGCUACCAGAGGUAUAUAAGAUCAGAAAUGUAUAAAGAAUAUUUAAAUACUUCAAAGAAAAAGACUUCCAUGAAAGGCAUUAGGUCUAUAGUAUCAUUUUCUGGAAAAAGAGAUAUUUGCCCAUCGUGAUGGUAUGCGUACUUAAAUUAUUCAAAGUACCUAUUCAAUACAGUUCAAAUAUUUGAAACAUUAUUUACUUUUUUUAUUUAUAAAUUAUAAGCAAUUAAAUUUAAUUUUUAUAAUAUAGGUGGUUAAAUUAUUAUUUUUUAUACAUGUAUUAUUUAUAGGCAUUUACAAUUUUUUGGUUCUAUUAUUACAAAUUAUUAUAAAUAAUUAUUGUUGUGAAAAUGUUAACUAUUAAGUUAUAAUUGUAUGUUUGAGGCAAUUUAUGUUCCUAUAAAAUACUGGUGACAUUUUUUUAUACAUAUAUUUUUGUUGUACAACUGUUACAAAUUGUAAUAAAUAUUAUAUAUUUAUUGUUUUAAAUUGUAUAAAUAUUUGUUUGAACUUUCUUUUACUAUGAAAUUUGUGUAGGUACUCAUGAUAAUAUUGUUGUUGUUUAGUCAAAUUUAAAUUAUAAUUAAUGUGUUGAAUUGUAUAAAUUUUAGAUCUACUUAAACCUUGGUAAUUAAGCAGAAGUCCAUUAAAAGUUAAACAUGUUUUUAUUAAGCAUUAUGUUUAAUUUGUUGAAAAUAAUUAUGUUCAUUUUAUUUAUUUUUUACUGUACUUAAGUGUAUUUAUGAUAACCAAACCACACCACAAUGGUCAAUAAUACAAAAUAACAGUUCAAAAGUUAUUAAAUUAUAUUAAUACAUCAUAUUAUAUAAUAUACUAUGUACAUAAUAAAAUGUUCAUCGAUCUAGUAUAAUAGGUACGUCAUAAACAGUGCAGAAUAAACCGACAGUGCAAAUGGUGCAACUCACUGGGAUCCCCAAUAUUAUGGAUAUCAAAGUACCAUAUUAAAUUACACUAACAUAACAUAGUACCUAAUGUAAUGCAGGUGACUAGAUAUGGUAUAGAACUAUAAUAUAAGAAUUAUUUGAAUGGUUAAAUAUUUAUUUUAUAUUUUAUAUAUUGUAAUUAAUAAUAAAUUUGUUUUUAACUAAAAUAUGUAA